rnacentral:rRNA from 1 species
UGGGGAAUAUUGCACAAUGGGCGCAAGCCUGAUGCAGCCAUGCCGCGUGUAUGAAGAAGGCCUUCGGGUUGUAAAGUACUUUCAGCGGGGAGGAAGGCGAUAAGGUUAAUAACCUCAUCGAUUGACGUUACCCGCAGAAGAAGCACCGGCUAACUCCGUGCCAGCAGCCGCGGUAAUACGGAGGGUGCAAGCGUUAAUCGGAAUUACUGGGCGUAAAGCGCACGCAGGCGGUCUGUCAAGUCGGAUGUGAAAUCCCCGGGCUCAACCUGGGAACUGCAUUCGAAACUGGCAGGCUAGAGUCUUGUAGAGGGGGGUAGAAUUCCAGGUGUAGCGGUGAAAUGCGUAGAGAUCUGGAGGAAUACCGGUGGCGAAGGCGGCCCCCUGGACAAAGACUGACGCUCAGGUGCGAAAGCGUGGGGAGCAAACAGG